UCUUUGAUGGUCUAACGGUCAUGAUUUCCGCUUGUCAUUCGGCAAAGCGCGGGAGACCGGGGUUCGACUCCCCGUCAGAGAG
rnacentral:tRNA from 1 species